rnacentral:rRNA from 1 species
GGGUCAGUAGGUUGGUCGUGCCACCGGUACGUACUGGUCUCACUGAUUCCUCCUUCCUGAAGAACCGUAAUGCCAUUAAUUUGGUGUUGCGGGGAAACAGGACUGUUACUUUGAAAAAAUUAGAGUGUCUAAGGCAAGCUAACGCUUGAAUACAUUAGCAUGGAAUAAUGAAAUAGGACGAUCGAUCCUAUUUUGUUGGUUUCUAGGAUUGACGUA